GUCCAGGGGCGGGAAUCGAACCCACGACCUUCCGUUUACCGGGCAGAUGCCAUGUCCACUAGGCUACCCUGGA
rnacentral:tRNA from 1 species